rnacentral:ncRNA from 1 species
CUAGGAAUAAUGGAAUAGGACCGCGGUUCUAUCUUGUUGGUUUUCGGAACUGAGGUCAUGAUUAAGAGGGACGCCCGGGGGCAUUCGUAUUGCGCCGCUAGAGGUGAAAUUCUUGGACCGGCGCAAGACGGACCAGAGCGAAAGCAUUUGCCAAGAAUGUUUUCAUU